rnacentral:rRNA from 1 species
CCUACGGGAGGCUGCAGUGAGGAAUAUUGGUCAAUGGACGAGAGUCUGAACCAGCCAAGUAGCGUUAAGUAUGACUGCCCUAUGUGUUGUAAACUUCUUUUAUAUUGGAAUAAAAUGUUCCACGUGUUGGCUUUUGUAUGUACCAUAUGAAUAAGGAUCGGCUAACUCCGUGCAAGCAGCCACCGUAAUACGGAGGAUCCGAGCGUUAUACGGAUUUAGUGGGUUUAAAGGGAGCGUAGGUGGAUUGUUAAGUCAGUUGUGAAAGUUUGCGGCUCAACCGUAAAAUUGCAGUUGAAACUGGCAGUCUUGAGUACAGUAGAGGUGGGCGGAAUUCGUGGUGUAGCGGUGAAAUGCUUAGAUAUCGCGAAGAACUCCGAUUGCGAAGGCAGUUCACUGGACUGCAACUGACACUGAGGCUCGAAAGUGUGGGUAUCAAACAGGAUUAGAUACCCUUGUAGUC